CCUCCCAAAGAGUAACGGAGGAGCACGAAGGUGGGCUAAUCACGGUUGGACAUCGUGAGGUUAGUGCAAUGGCAUAAGCCCGCUUGACUGCGAGAAUGACAAUUCGAGCAGGUGCGAAAGCAGGUCAUAGUGAUCCGGUGGUUCUGAAUGGAAGGGCCAUCGCUCAACGGAUAAAAGGUACUCCGGGGAUAACAGGCUGAUACCGCCCAAGAGUUCAUAUCGACGGCGGUGUUUGGCACCUCGAUGUCGGCUCAUCACAUCCUGGGGCUGAAGUCGGUCCCAAGGGUAUGGCUGUUCGCCAUUUAAAGUGGUACGCGAGCUGGGUUUAGAACGUCGUGAGACAGUUCGGUCCCUAUCUGCCGUGGGCGUUGGAAGAUUGAAGGGGGCUGCUCCUAGUACGAGAGGACCGGAGUGGACGAACCUCUGGUGUUCGGGUUGUGUCGCCAGACGCAUUGCCCGGUAGCUAAGUUCGGAAUCGAUAACCGCUGAAAGCAUCUAAGCGGGAAGCGAGCCCUGAGAUGAGUCUUCCCUGAUACUUUAAGUAUCCUAAAGGGUUGUCGGAGACUACGACGUUGAUAGGUCAGGUGUGUAAGUGCUGUGAGGCAUUGAGCUAACUGAUACUAAUUGCCCGUGAGGCUUAACCAUACAACACCCAA
rnacentral:rRNA from 1 species